AACGAACGCUGGCGGCAGGCCUAACACAUGCAAGUCGAGCGAGGACUUCGGUCCUAGCGGCGGACGGGUGAGUAACGCGUGGGAACGUGCCCUUUGCUUCGGAAUAGCCCUGGGAAACUGGGAGUAAUACCGGAUGAGCCCUUUGGGGGAAAGAUUUAUCGGCGAAGGAUCGGCCCGCGUUGGAUUAGGUAGUUGGUGGGGUAAUGGCCUACCAAGCCGACGAUCCAUAGCUGGUUUGAGAGGAUGAUCAGCCACACUGGGACUGAGACACGGCCCAGACUCCUACGGGAGGAAGCAGUGGGGAAUCUUAGACAAUGGGGGAAACCCUGAUCUAGCCAUGCCGCGUGAGCGAUGAAGGCCUUAGGGUUGUAAAGCUCUUUCAGCUGGGAAGAUAAUGACGGUACCAGCAGAAGAAGCCCCGGCUAACUCCGU
rnacentral:rRNA from 1 species